CUUUGUUCUGCCUUGAGUGAAUUAUUUUACUACCCAAGUUACCAGCUUCCACUAGAUUGGGUCACUCCAUAUUUUGGGGCACCAUUUGAUAGGUGACUACAGAGGAACAAAAGCUAAAAGAUGGAAAAACUCUAUCCCUGAAAGCACAAAUUGGAGGGGAGAUUCUAUCCUGCAAGAAGCACAUUCACUGGGAACAUGAAUGAUUGAAUAACUUUCUGUUGCAUUAAGACAUAUUUGUUUAAGAAGUCUGAAGUCCAUUUGGUUCUUGGUGCUCAAAGUUUGAGCCAUGGACCAAUUGAAUCAACAUCACCUGAAGCUUGCUGGAAAUGCAAAAUUUCAAGUCUCA
rnacentral:lncRNA from 12 species